GAUGAACGCUAGCGGCAGGCUUAAUACAUGCAAGUCGAACGGUAAGUUUGGUAGCAAUACUGAACCAAGAGUGACGUACGGGUGCGUAACACGUAUGCAACCUACCCAAAACAGGAGGAUAGCUCGGGGAAACUCGAAUUAACCCUCCAUAAGAUCAUAGAGUGGCAUUACUUAGUGAUUAAAACUCCGGUGGUUUUGGAUGGGCAUGCGUCUGAUUAGUUAGUUGGCGGGGUAACGGCCACCAAGACGAUGAUCAGUAGGGGAACUGAGAGGUUGAUCCCCCACACUGGCACUGAGAUACGGGCCAGACUCCUACGGGAGGCAGCAGUAGGGAAUAUUGGUCAAUGGGUGCAAGCCUGAACCAGCCAUGCCGCGUGCAGGAAGAAGGCGUUAUGCGUUGUAAACUGCUUUUGCCAGGGGAUAAAAUAGCUUUGCGAAGCUAAUUGAAGGUACCUGGUGAAUAAGCCACGGCUAACUACGUGCCAGCAGCCGCGGUAAUACGUAGGUGGCGAGCGUUGUCCGGAUUUAUUGGGUUUAAAGGGUGCGUAGGCGGCCCUGUAAGUCAGUGCUGAAAUAUCCCGGCUUAACCGGGAGGGUGGCAUUGAUACUGCGGGGCUUGAGUGGAGUCGAAGUAGGCGGAAUUGACGGUGUAGCGGUGAAGUGCUUAGAUAUCGUCAAGAACACCGAUAGUGAAGACAGUUUACUAGGCUUUUACUGACGCUGAGGCACGAAAGUGUGGGGAUCAAACAGGAUUAGAUACCCUGGUAGUCCACACUGUAAACGUUGAUGACUCGCUGUUGGCGAUACACAGCCAGCGGCCAAGCGCAAGCGAUAAGUCAUCCACCUGGGGAGUACGCCGGCAACGGUG
rnacentral:rRNA from 1 species